rnacentral:rRNA from 1 species
GUCGAACGAAGUAGCAAUACUUAGUGGCAGACGGGUGAGUAACAUGUAGGUAUCUGCCCUUUGGCCUGGAAUAACACGAGGAAACUUGUGCUAAUACCGGAUAAGUCUUUACGGAGAAAGCUUUAUGCACCAUUGGAUGAGCCUGCACUUGAUUAGUUUGUUGGUGGGGUAAUGGCCUACCAAGACUGUGAUCAAUAGCUGAUUUGAGAGGAUGAUCAGCCACAUUGGGACUGAGACACGGCCCAAACUCCUACGGGAGGCAGCAGUGGGGAAUCUUGCACAAUGGAGGAAACUCUGAUGCAGCGAUGCCGCGUGAGUGAAGAAGGCCCUUGGGUUGUAAAGCUCUUUCGUCGGGGAAGAAAAUGACUGUACCCGAAUAAGAAGGUCCGGCUAACUUCGUGCCAGCAGCCGCGGUAAUACGAAGGGACCUAGCGUAGUUCGGAAUUACUGGGCUUAAAGAGUUCGUAGGUGGUUGAAAAAGUUAGUGGUGAAAUCCCAGAGCUUAACUCUGGAACUGCCAUUAAAACUUUUCAGCUAGAGUAUGAUAGAGGAAAGCAGAAUUUCUAGUGUAGAGGUGAAAUUCGUAGAUAUUAGAAAGAAUACCAAUUGCGAAGGCAGCUUUCUGGAUCAUUACUGACACUGAGGAACGAAAGCAUGGGUAGCGAAGAGGAUUAGAUACCCUCGUAGUCCAUGCCGUAAACGAUGUGUGUUAGACGUUGGAAAUUUAUUUUCAGUGUCGCAGGGAAACCGAUAAACACACCGCCUGGGGAGUACGACCGCAAGGUUAAAACUCAAAUGAAUUGACGGGGACCCGCACAAGUAGUGGAGCAUGUGGUUUAAUUCGAAGAUACGCGCAGAACCUUACCAACACUUGACAUGUUCGUCGCGACUCUAAGAGAUUAGAGUUUUCGGUUCGGCCGGACGAAACACAGGUGCUGCAUGGCUGUCGUCAGCUCGUGUCGUGAGAUGUUGGGGUUAAGUCCCGCAACGAGCGCAACCCUCACUUUUAGUUGCCAUCAUUAAGUUGGGCACUCU